rnacentral:rRNA from 1 species
AGCAUACAAGGCAUACGGCUCAGUAACGCGUAGUCAACCUAACCUAUGGACGGGAAUAACCUCGGGAAACUGAGAAUAAUGCCCGAUAGAACAUUAUGCCUGGAAUGGUUUAUGUUCCAAAUGAUUUAUCGCCGUAGGAUGGGACUGCGGCCUAUCAGUUUGUUGGUGAGGUAAUGGCCCACCAAGACUAUUACAGGUACGGGCUCUGAGAGGAGUAGCCCGGAGAUGGGUACUGAGACACGGACCCAGGCCCUAUGGGGCGCAGCAGGCGAGAAAACUUUGCAAUGUGCGAAAGCACGACAAGGUUAAUCCGAGUGGUUUCUGCUAAAGAAACCUUUUGUCAGUCCUAGAAACACUGAUGAAUAAGGGGUGGGCAAGUUCUGGUGUCAGCCGCCGCGGUAAAACCAGCACCUCAAGUGGUCAGGAUGAUUAUUGGGCCUAAAGCAUCCGUAGCCGGCUCUGUAAGUUUUCGGUUAAAUCUGUACGCUCAACGUACAGGCUGCCGGGAAUACUGCAGAGCUAGGGAGUGGGAGAGGUAGACGGUACUCGGUAGGAAGGGGUAAAAUCCUUUGAUCUAUUGAUGACCACCUGUGGCGAAGGCGGUCUACCAGAACACGUCCGACGGUGAGGGAUGAAAGCUGGGGGAGCAAACCGGAUUAGAUACCCGGGUAGUCCCAGCUGUAAACUAUGCAAACUCAGUGACGCAUUGGCUUGUGGCCAAUGCAGUGCUGCAGGGAAGCCGUUAAGUUUGCCGCCUGGGAAGUACGUACGCAAGUAUGAAACUUAAAGGAAUUGGCGGGGGAGCACCACAAGGGGUGAAGCCUGCGGUUCAAUUGGAGUCAACGCCGGA